AAACCUUCCAAGUCUACCUUCACACAUCAGUUCAGGGGCCAGCCGUGUUUUAUAAUCCUGGCAAGAGUUUAUCUAACUCGAGUUCACAGGAUUCUUUUGAGGUGGAACAAGACUUCCUUUAUUUUGAGUGGUCUCAUGAAGGAAAUAUGUUGCAUGAUCUGUAAAACACCUUUUUCUGUUACAUUCCCAAAUCAUAGUUUAGUUAAUCAGCAGCUGAAUCUUGUAAUUUGCUAUGAAUGCACUUACUUUGGUUGGAUAUUUAAAACCACAUAACAAAGAUUUGUGAUGUUUCUGUCAGGUUGCAUUCAUUUCAGACUCGGGAACUACUUAAGUACUUAAUGAGGUGUUUUCGUACAGAAGAUCAUGGGUGAACUCUAGUGAGCUUGGAUAAACCAACAAAUGUCCAAAUGAUUAUUUAAAAGUCUUUUGAACUUAAUCAAGUCAUGUUUCAUGACAAUCUCAUGUAAUAAGCUUCUCUCAAAAGAUUCCUAUAUUUGGCUGGGCCACAAAUGUAUGAAAAUUCCUUAGAAUAUACUGACAAACACAUAAAUGAUCCACUAGCAAAUAACACCCUGUAACCAUUUUAAAAUCAAAUUAACCCAAUUUGAUUGGUUUGAUUUUGGAAAGGGUUUUUAGUUAGUUCAUUUCAAUGAUGAGACUAACUGUGUUUCCUACAGUCUCAUUUUUUUAAAUAACAUAAAUUAUUUUUUUUAAAGUAUUAGGAAUUAUACUGAAAAAUUACCAACCAAUUAUGCUAAAGUAGGAAAUCAUACUUAAAAAAGACUCUAUAGUGACUGCAUAUCCUCUUUAUGUUACACUUGAACAUGGCAAAAGGAAUGGCAGAAGAAAGAAAUUAAGAGAGAAGAACAAGAAAAGAGUAAAAAAAUUGAAAACGGAAAAAAAUCCACAGAAAGAAGAAAAAAGGAACUUAUGAUUCAAAUUCAAACGCCUAGAAUCAUGUUAGGAAUUAGGAGCUGAUUUGUUGUAUCAACAGCCAACUCCAGUGGUGGCUUUAUUGAAGUCACUAACACCUUUGCAUCGGUUUUUCCACCUUUAGCAAGAAUAUUUGUCAGCACAGAAGUAAUGGUUAAAGUUGGAUUAUCUUUUGUGAUAUGAAAAUUAAUGCUUGAAAUCUUAAGCCUUCAAAAGGAUGCCCAAUUAUUAACUAGCUUACUAGAGCUUUAAAGUAUAAAACAUCGUGACAAGAUUGUUUCAGUGGAUCGCUAACAGCCAAUACAAAUGUUUUUUCCUCACAUGUAGAAAUAAAUCAUUGGUAU
rnacentral:lncRNA from 1 species